rnacentral:tRNA from 1 species
GGAUGGGUGUCCGAGUGGCCGAAGGAGCACGCCUGGAACGCGUGUAUACGUCUCAAGCGUAUCGAGGGUUCGAAUCCCUCUCCAUCCG